ensembl:snRNA U5 U5 spliceosomal RNA
AUGCUCUGGUUUCUCUUCAGAUCGUAUAAAUCUUUCGCCUUUUACUAAAGAUUUCCGUGGAGAGGAGCAUUUACGAGUUUGAAACUAAUUUUUUUAGGCUCUGCCUCGGCAGAGCU